rnacentral:misc_RNA from 1 species
GAUGAAGAACGUAGCGAAAUGCGAUAAGUAGUGUGAAUUGCAGAAUUCAGUGAAUCAUCGAAUCUUUGAACGCACAUUGCGCCGUUUGGUAUUCCUUAGGGCAUGCCUGUUCGAGCGUCAUUUAAACCUUCAAGCUAAGCUUGGUGUUGGGUGACUGUCCGCUUCACGGCGGACUCGCCUCAAAAUUAUUGGCGGCCGGUACAUUGGCUUCGAGCGCAGCAGAAACGCGAACUCGGGCCCGUCGUAUUGGCUCCCAGAAGCUAUCUUCACAAUUUUGACCUCGGAUCAGGUAGGGAUACCCGCUGAACUUAAGCAUAUCAAUAAGCGGAGGA